CUUACACAUGCAAGUCGAACGAUGAACUCCAGCUUGCUGGGGGGAUUAGUGGCGAACGGGUGAGUAACACGUGAGUAACCUGCCCCUGACUCUGGGAUAAGCGCUGGAAACGGCGUCUAAUACCGGAUAUGACAAUCGACGGCAUCGUCUGGUUGUGGAAAGAAUUUCGGUUGGGGAUGGACUCGCGGCCUAUCAGGUUGUUGGUGAGGUAAUGGCUCACCAAGCCUACGACGGGUAGCCGGCCUGAGAGGGUGACCGGCCACACUGGGACUGAGACACGGCCCAGACUCCUACGGGAGGCAGCAGUGGGGAAUAUUGCACAAUGGGCGCAAGCCUGAUGCAGCAACGCCGCGUGAGGGACGACGGCCUUCGGGUUGUAAACCUCUUUUAGUAGGGAAGAAGCGAAAGUGACGGUACCUGCAGAAAAAGCACCGGCUAACUACUGCC
rnacentral:rRNA from 1 species